GUUUAUUAUUUUUCGAUGACAAGUUCACCAGAGUUCCGCGAAAUUUCAACGAGUCCACCACUCAAAAACCCCAUUUUUCUCUAUUUGUGUCCUUCUAAACAUCCUUUCUCCAUUUUUUUCACUGCCAGACCGCCCAAAUCAAACUCAACCAGACCUCCAGCCAACUAAAACCCCCUUUUUCCCUUUCCCAUUUUGCAGCGAAACAAGCUCCACCGGAGAAGCAACCCAAUAGGUUCCACAACCAGCUCCAAGUCGGGCCGCCACAAUCCCAAACCCGCCUCAGAACAGCCGCUCCAAAUAGCAAUGAAAUCAGUUCCCUUCCUCUCUCCCCUUUCACAAUUUUUCCUCUAUUUUUGUAGGUAUCCACCCGAACUAGAGCAUCAAACUACGGUGACAGACAACACCACAAUAUCGCCACCAUGUUCCUAGUUCCGACGAGCUAAAACCCAUUUUCAGAUCUACUCAAAAAUGGCUCCAAGGUAUCAGCAAGCUCCGCUUAUGGGUACCCAAGGUUUGCUUCCUUGAAGCUAUUCGAAAGGACUUUGAAUUAUAUUUUUUCAAUUCAUUAUUUUGUAUAUAUCGAUGUUAGGCAAACCUUAGGCCGAUAUUGUUAUUUUAUUUUAUUGUGUAUAUUACAUGUUUAUUAUAUUUGUAUAUUAUUUUAUUCUCCUGCUCAAUUUGAAAAAAAAAUGAACUCAGUCGGGAACCACGAUUGUGGAUUUCGAUAAAUGCCUAACACCUUUUCUUCGGAAUAACUUGAACCCCUUAUCUAGAAUCAAAUUGGUUUCGUAAA